GUGCCUGGUCCAGAACCGCCGCUCGCCAGCCGCUGUGUUGCAGUCGGCCACUCCUAUUCUCACUUCAACUGUAAGUUCUCCGAAUUCUCUCACCCUCAUUUUCAGUUAUGUCAACAGAUUGUUUUCUGGUGUUUCCACUUCAUUAGAAUUGUAUUCAUUUCAUGGUUGUGUUCAAGUGAAAGGUUUCGUUUUGUUGCAAAUGAUUUGUUGCAAAUGAUGCAUCUGUGUGCUCUACAUUUGGAGAGGAAUAUAAUGAGAUAUUGUUUUGUUUUACUGUAAUCCAUGACAUUUUAAACUCAAACAAGUUUGUCCUUGAUUGGCUUGCUGUUCAAUAUUUUGGUGUCAUAAAGUCCCAUGUUAUGAUUCUGCACUUACAUGUAAGGGGGCCUCUUUAAGUUUAAACUCUACAGUGAAAUUGUAAGUUUCUUCUUCUUCUUCUGUUCCUAUAAUCUAAACGUAUUGUAUUCAUUUCAUGGUUGUGUUCAACUACUAGAGUAUCUGGAAACUUUACAAUUCGCGGCGGCGGUAACCUUCUUCUUCUUCUUCUUCUAUAUUUUCCAGAUUUUUGGUUUAGAUUUUGUUAAUUAAUUCUUGUGAUUGCUUUACUUCCCUGUUUUGGUUUAGAUUUUUGGCUGGGAGUAAGCGAUUGUUGUACUUCCCUGUUUUGUUUUCGAAAUGAGCUGUAGUUAGUGAUGUAUUGUGUGAGUUGCUUUGUGAUCAUGUGUCAAAUUUUUCCUUUGCUAUUCUUUGGUUUUUGUUCCUAUCUUGGAGGAUUUGUUAUGGGUUAUUAUGGGUUAGCUUUGCGUAAUACUUAUCUGAUAUAAAGUAACUUAGAUUUUAAGAUGAGGAUGUGAUGCGCUGCAUAUACUUGGAAUGUUAAUAGUGGGUGAUUUUUAUUGGUUAAUUACCAGACUGUAGAAGAGGUAACACUUUUGUUUUAAUGGAAAUAGUCUCUCAAAUAUUUAUAGUUUCAGAUACAUAUGCUGCCUGCCAGUUAGUAUGGCAGUGAAGAUGGUCAUCCAAAUUCAGACAUUUCACUUUGAAUAAAUCCAUCAUUUUUACAGAAACCCUGCAAUCAUGAGAAUAUUCUUCCUGCAAUAAAGAAAAUUCUCCACUCAAUUUAUACAUGUAUCAUGCAUGACAGAACCGUAGAGAUGGAAUAAUCAUAAGCAAUAGAACAAAUAUAGCAGGUUUCAAGUCAUUCUUCCAUAUUCUAAAGAUGCGAAAAAGAAUAUUAUGUGGCCAAAGGAAAAACGUGCAACUUAUUGUAAGCGCCACAAUCAUCAUAUUUUCUCUAGAGAGUUCAUGUGAUGCCAAAUCUGAGCAUUUCUAUGGCUAACAUGUAUUCCUUUUCUUGCAAAAGAGAAUCAUGUUUCCUAGCGGAUGUUGUCUUUACAUUAUAAGCUGUUUUGUUGCUUGACUUUUUAUUCUUUGCACAUCCCUUUCUCUGUCAUUUUUGUCUUGAAAGGAGUAUAUGUCAUGUAUUGACUCCAUGAAAUGAUUUUAGAAAGGGAAGAAUUAUGUUGCUUUGAGGGUGAAGUCUUAAAAUUCAUUCUCUAUGAGAUGAUUUUAGACCUGGAAGAAUCAUGUUGCUUUUAUCAAUAUAUAAUACGAUUAAGGAAUCCUGCGCUCUCCUUAAUCCGGGGUCCUACGUGGCAUAUCUAAGAAUUCACCAUUCAAAAUCCCUGCAAUUCUAGAGCCUCUAGCUCAAUUCUCUAUCGCUGACGUGGCAAUAUAAUU
rnacentral:lncRNA from 1 species